GCUAAUCCUGCCUAUGGAGUUACUGAAAACUCUGGUAUCUCUGCUAAUCCUGCCUAUGGUAUUCACAACAGAGAAGGAAUAGAAAGUAUUGAUGAAGAAGCAUUAGUAUAUGAUG